GUCCGAUUCAUUCGAAAAUUUCAGGGCAGAGAAAUAUUGACCUGAUAAACAAUUUUACCCCUUGUCAGAUUUGCUCUAAAUGCUUUGGUUUUUAUGUUUUAAGCCAAAAACUGCAUUUUACCCCUAUGUUCUAUUUUUAGCCAUGGCAGCCAUCUUGGUUGGUUGGCCGGGUCACCGGACACAAUUUUUAAACUAGAUAUCCCAAUUAUGAUUGUGGCCAAGUUUGACUUAAUUUGGCCCAGUAGUUUCAGAGGAGAAGAUUUUUGUAUAAGAUAACUAAGAUUUACGAAAAAUGUUUAAAAAUUGACUAUAAAGGGCAAUAACUCCUAAAGGGGUCAACUGAAAAUUUGGACUUGAUGACUUAUUUGUAAAUCUUACUUUGCUGAACAUUUUUCCUAUUUACAGUUUAUCUCUAUCUAUAAUAAUAUUCAAGAUAAUAACCGAAAAUAGCAACAAUUUCCUUAAAAUGACCAAUUCAGGGGCAGCAACCUAACAACGGGUUGUCCGAUUCAUCUGAAAAUUUCAGAGCAGAUAGAUCUUGACCUGAUAAACAAUUUUACUCAUCUCAGGUUUGCUCUAAAUGCUUUGGUUUUUGAAUUAUAAGCCAAAAAAUGCAUUUUACCCCUAUGUUCUAUUUUUAGACAUGGCGGCCAUCUUGGUUGGUUGGCCGGGUCACCGG
rnacentral:lncRNA from 1 species